rnacentral:misc_RNA from 1 species
UGGCUCUCGCAUCGAUGAAGAACGCAGCGAAACGCGAAAUGUAAUGUGAAUUGCAGAAUUCAGUGAAUCAUCGAAUCUUUGAACGCACCUUGCGCUCUUGGGCUAUUCCUAAGAGCAUGCUUGUUUGAGUGUCGCUUACCCUCUCAAACCCGCCUUUUCCUCCGGGAAUUAAGGUAGCAGGUUUGGAUCGUGAUGCGCUUGUCGGCUGCCCUUUGUCGGGCGUCGACUGCAUUGAAAAGCAACAAGCCGGAUCCUUUUGACUUGGCGGCUUGACCUGUUGUCGUAACUUUAAACUCAACGGGAACGCCAAGGGGAAUGGGCUUACCAUAAAUUGAUUUACCAAAAUGACCUCAAAUCAAGUAGGACUACCCGCUGA